rnacentral:rRNA from 1 species
GCUUUUUAUGAUGACAGAGCCAAGUCGUUGUGAAAGUUUGAUUAUUUGCUUGUUUACUCAGAAAAAACUAUAGAAACAGAGUUAGGGUCCUCGGCGGGCGCCCUGUUACGGCCGUCUGUUCCGCGAGCAACCUUAGUAUGUUCACAGGUUGUGAGUUGUAUAACUCGGUAAUGUUCCCGUUUGGGGGGCCAGCGGAGGGAUCAUUA